GCCCCAUACCAGGGCCAAGCCCACAACCUGGGCGUCAUGUCUUCAGUGCCAACCGUUUCCAGUCCACGGGUUCUAUCCUCAAGCGCUGGGACACGG
rnacentral:snoRNA from 1 species